CAGCAGUAGGGAAUUUUCGUCAAUGGGCGCAAGCCUGAACGAGCAAUGCCGCGUGAACGAGGAAGGUCUUCGGAUCGUAAAGUUCUGUUGAGAGGGAAAAAGGGUCACCAGAGGAAAUGCUGGUGAAGUGAUAUUACCUUUCGAGGAAGUCACGGCUAACUACGUGCCAGCAGCCGCGGUAAUACGUAGGUGGCGAGCGUUAUCCGGAAUGAUUGGGCGUAAAGGGUGCGUAGGCGGCCUGUUAAGUCUGAAGUGAAAGGUACCGGCUCAACCGGUACAGGCUUUGGAAACUGGCAGGCUGGAGGACAGGAGAGGGCGGUGGAACUCCAUGUGUAGCGGUAAAAUGCGUAGAUAUAUGGAAGAACACCAGUGGCGAAGGCGGCCGCCUGGCCUGUUACUGACGCUGAGGCACGAAAGCGUGGGGAGCAAAUAGGAUUAGA
rnacentral:rRNA from 1 species